UACGUAGGGUCCGAGCGUUGUCCGGAUUUAUUGGGCGUAAAGAGCUCGUAGGCGGUUUGUUGCGUCGGCUGUGAAAUCCCGAGGCUCAACCUCGGGUCUGCAGUCGAUACGAGCAAACUAGAGUGUUGCAGGGGAGACUGGAAUUCCUGGUGUAGCGGUGAAAUGCGCAGAUAUCAGGAGGAACACCAGUGGCGAAGGCGGUGCUCUGGGCCGGAACUGACGCUGAGGAGCGAAAGCGUGGGGAGCAAACAGG
rnacentral:rRNA from 1 species